GCAAAAAUACACUGCAUUAGGCGAAAAUCAAAAUCUGCUCCAACGAACACUUACUUUCUUUAUUCACCUCUCUCUCAGCUAACAGAGGAGGAGAUUUAAUCUUCAAGGACCAAACAAAGGAAAACAGACUGACGGAACAGUUCAACUUUGUACACUCAUUCACUAUCAUGUGGAUGCAAAAACUAAACACUCUGUCUCCAUGCAGGGAAGGCCAGUUGAAAGACAGCAAGUUCCCAGUCUGGGAAACUUCAGCUGACAAAUGUUUUUCAGUUAGUUUGUAUGCUCUCUGCAGCUGCACGGAAAAAAAAAAAUCUUGACUAUGAUGGGUUGUUCAUCAUAGUCAAAUUCACUUUCACUGCUUUUGUCAGAAACCCGUUAACCAGAAAUCUGCUGGAGAUGUCUCAGUACAGCAGUCCCACCCAUGCUACGAACCUCCCGGGAAACCCCAUUUUUAGCAGCACCUGGAAGAGUGCUUCCAGAUGCACAUCGAAAGCUUUCUCAAAAUCUCAAUUUAGGACUAUCAGCCGAAUGUUUCUGUCUUUCACAAAACAGAUGGUGUCUCGGAUCAGUACGAGGCUGUCCGUGAUCUUCCUCCCCGGCACCGCGCAGGCUUGAUCGGGGUGGAUUAGAUCCCCCAACACUCUGUGCAUCCUGGCUACUAAAGGUUUACUAAAAAGUUUACAAUCCACGUUUAAAAGGGUGAUUGGGCCGCCAGUUUUUAAGAUCUGUCUUGUAUUUAUAUAAAAGCGUCACUAUUCCUGUCAGGAUCCAGGGUUGUUAGGUUCUCGCUGUAGGGGUUUUGGGUGCAUGCACCACCUUUGUUUCCUCACCAGAUGGCACCAUCAGUUUGACGGAGGGCGUGGAUGACGUCAUCUCCCACACCGGCCUCUGAUUAGCUCAUCAGCGACAGGUUUUGAAGAGCGGUCUACCAGUCCUUCCGCGCCUGAGUGUUGCCCAGUUUUGUCUCCCCUUGGAUUUCCUCGACUGGAAGACGCGCCGUUUCUCGCUCCUCGCGGAUCCCGAGCCUACCUGUCUGCCCUCCAGCGCGCACACGCCCCACCCAAACCCCCAGAGAGACCGGACCCUGGACCCAGCAGCCACCCGCCGCUAGCUUUUCCCUGCUCGACUCAAUGAGCCGAUCGCUUCCUGAUCCUUCCCUUCCCGUGGACCAGACCAGAGUUUUCAUUCCCUGCCACUGUGUUUCGCUUCUUUCUCAAAUAAAUUCACUACAUUUUCA